rnacentral:rRNA from 1 species
AUUGAACGCUGGCGGCAGGCCUAACACAUGCAAGUCGAACGAGUGGCGGACGGGUGAGUAAUGUCUGGGAAACUGCCCGAUGGAGGGGGAUAACUACUGGAAACGGUAGCUAAUACCGCAUACCCUCGGAUGUGCCCAGGUGGGAUUGGCUAGUAGGUGGGGUAACGGCUCACCUAGGCGACGAUCCCUAGCUGGUCUGAGAGGAUUACCCGCCACACUGGAACGAGGACACGGUCCAGACUCCUACGGAGGGAAGCAGUGGGGAAUAGUGCACAAUGGGCGCAAGCCUGAUGCAGCCAUGCCGCGUGUAUGAAGAAGGCCUUCGGGUUGUAAAGUACUUUCAGCGAGGAGGCGUUACUCGCAGAAGAAGCACCGGCUAACUCCGUGCCAGCAGCCGCGGUAAUUC